AAGUUUGAUAACACAUCAAUAUAGUGAGAAAGACAAACAUACGAUAACGAACAGUUGUCACAUCUAGCCCGUUUGAUGAAAUAUUAGCAAGAAAUACGACUUCUCGACUAACCCUUGAGAACCCCUUUAAACAUGAAAUUCCACAAACUUCCGCACAUUUCACGACACAUACCGCCUAUCUUUAAUGCGAACUGUACAUCAUCUAAUAAACAACUCACAAUAAUAGGCGAUCCAUCCACUCGAAUCGCUAUUGAUGCAAACUACAAUUGCCGUCGAAAGGUCAAAACUGCUUCGGGAUACUAUCGUCAGUAGUACCCAAUAUCUACAAGACUCCACUACCCUUCAUCGAUGAGCUGUACAGAAUCAUACGAACCACAAGCAAAAUACAGGGGUGACAUAGAGCUAAUCAUAAGCAAAGAUUUAAAGCUUUAACAUCUUGAACGACAUCUGUAUCAUCUAAUAAACAUAUUCUCCUUGCAAGUUUCAGAACUAGUGAUACUCAAAACAGUUAACAUCCUAUACAGUGUUCCGAUUUCCUGUACGUGGUUUAAACGUUUAAUCAUUCCCCUAGACGCCCCUUUUUGAAUUUACUUCCCACACAAUAUUGGAUACCUACGUCCACAAUCAUCGUGCCAUAUCAUCUCCGUACAUUCACAUGACUAUAGUUUGCUCACAAACACAUUAAUUUCAUCAAAUUUAAAAAUGCGUGUCUGAAUGUAGUAAGAGAACACAAGGUUUACGUAUUAGAUCUUCUUUUUUUAGGGGUUUAAAGAAUAUUUCAUAUGUUUGAGCAUUUACUGCUUAUUUGGCUUAAGGAAGUCUUAGUUUAAACGGAAUGAAACAGCUACGUUUUCAGACAUACAUACGAACUUCCAUUCCAACUUCCGUUUUGGUAAAAGGUAGAGAGAAACAAAUACAUGCCAGAAACUAUUCAACAGUUCAACCCGAUUGCGUGAUUGGUAUACUGAUAUAUAGGGUAUUCCAUAAUAACACAGAGUGCAUGCAAUUAUCUUUACUGUCGUUUAGUGUUCUAUCGCUAUUUAACAAACUUAACUUUUCUCAUUACUAAAUCGAUAAAUGGUAUGUGCAUUAGAAACAUUGUCGCUUCUUGCUGAUGCUCAUGGUUAAAAUUAUGUAACAUUUCAAGUGAUACUAUUUGAAAUGGAUGCAGGAUAUCAAGAGAAGCUUGUUUAAUUAUUUAGCAAAGUGUCAAUAUAUUCAAAAUCAUCAUCAAAA